GGAGUACUCACUGCUCUCGGCCAGGACAAAGCUGCCACACUCCUGGGAGCGGUUGCCAGACUGGUCUGUCAUGUUGACACUGAAAAUGUCGUCGGCCAUGAAGCGGAACACAUCCAUGUGGCACGUGUAUUUUGCGAAGGGCGCUGAGCAUUCCAGGCCUCCUUCCCACUCUCCUUCCCUCCAAACUCCACCGAACACCGAACCAAGAGCCACACAGAGCUCCGUCCGGCUCUGAGGAACUUCCAGGGAGGCUCGGAACAUGACCACCCUCCAGGGCCAGUACGGAUGUGUGGGUUCAGAUCGCUGCUAAAUGUUGGCUGGAAUAGAAAUGUCUCCUGAAUCAGUGCUCUCCAAGCCUCCAGCCUGGACACUGCGCUGGCUGCCUGGUGGGGUCCUCGCCUUGCCCGCCCGCCCUGCGAUCUCUUUCACUUGCACAGCAGCCAGGGGGGCCUUUAAAAGCUCCCUGUCACUCCCCUGCCUAACACUCCGCAGUGGCUUCUCACCGCCCACACCACAGAGCCCGGCCGUGCCAACCCCUCGCCUCCUGUACUUGCUGUUCCCCCUCACGCUGGCUCAGCCCCCUCUGGCCACACCGACCUCCUCACUGUGCCUCCAACGCUCCAGCUCUCCCCGCCUGGGCCUUUGCACAUGCAGUGCCCUCGGCCUGGAAGGCCCUUCCCCCGCUCACCGCUGCCUCCUCCUCACCCACAGAGGCCUGCCUGGCCCCUUGGGCCCUCCCCCACGUCACUUGCUCUCUACCCCGCGGUCCAGCUUCCUGUUCUUGACAGCACUCAUUGUACUCAGAAAGCAUCCUGCUGGCCGCCGUGUGUGUAUCUGUCUCGCCAGCCACUCCCGCCGCCGUGUCAGCUCCAGGACACCUGGGACCUCGCGGCUGGGCCUCUGCUGAGUCACUGGUGCCGGCACGCAUCAGGCAGGAGCGGAAUCAAAGUGUUCUGUGUGAACGGAUGAGUGAGUGGAUGAUGGCCAAGUCCCUCCGUGACCACACUCCACGCAGGCUCCUCUGAACUCUCCUCAACGUGGCCCUGACUUUUGGGUUCCCGUGUCUGUCUCUGCAUCGUCUACUUUGAGCGAGACUCCUGCUCAGUCAGUCCAGCCCGAAUCCCCACCCUCAAUACCAAAGUGGGUUCCUCCUCCUCCACCAGCCCCAGGUGGUGUCUGAUCCCCCUGGGCUGCCUCAGCAAGAGCCCUGUUAGGUCGGUUUAGCCCGACGCCCUCUGACCCCUGAUGUUUCCUCCUAGUGGUUUCCAUGCACUGACCACUCCCUGCUCCUUGGCUAUAAACCCAACUUCCUCGUUGCGUUCCGAGUUGAGCCCAAUCAGCAAAACCCUGUGCAGUGGCCCCCACGCCUGUCACGGUGGUCUUAAAUAAAG